rnacentral:rRNA from 1 species
AUUGAACGCUGGCGGCAUGCUUUACACAUGCAAGUCGAACGGUAACAAGCCUUCGGGUGCUGACGAGUGGCGAACGGGUGAGUAAUGCAUCGGAACGUACCCAGAGGUGGGGGAUAACGCAGCGAAAGCUGUGCUAAUACCGCAUGUGAUCUGAGGAUGAAAGCGGGGGACCGAGCAGCAAUGUUUGGCCUCGCGCCUUUGGAGCGGCCGAUGUCGGAUUAGCUAGUUGGUGGGGUAAAGGCCUACCAAGGCGACGAUCCGUAGCUGGUCUGAGAGGACGACCAGCCACACUGGGACUGAGACACGGUCCAGACUCCUACGGGAGGCAGCAGUGGGGAAUUUUGGACAAUGGGCGCAAGCCUGAUCCAGCAAUGCCGCGUGCGGGAAGAAGGCCUUCGGGUUGUAAACCGCUUUUGGCAGGAACGAAACGGUGUCCGCUAAUACCGGGCGCUAAUGACGGUACCUGCAGAAUAAGCACCGGCUAACUACGUG